ACACACACACACACACACACACACACACACACACACACACACACACACACACACACACACCAGGUGGCUCCAUAUUGCAUCCCUAACAUGAAUAAAUAAUUAAAUGAAAUCUAAUCUUUUUUAUUUCAUUUCCGCUGCAGCUGAAUCCAAUUCUGCCUCCACAGUUUGAGGACGACACUCAGGUGACCCACAGGUACAAUUAUCACCAUUCAAGGCAUUACAGAAACUCUUGUGUUUCCGAGGAGGUGGGCCGCACUCCAUGUGUGAGAUGGAGAUAAUGCGUCUGAUAUGUGGAGAUGGAGUGGGAAUAAAGUAAUAACAAAAAAAAAAACUGCUGCUAGCAUCAAUGGCAUUUACAGAGAGACAAUACAAAGAACAAAUAAAUAUAGAUAGCUGUGCCCACUGUUCUCUGAAAUGAAUCAUCUUCAACAAUAUGUCUCUGUGAUUUUUUCUUCUCAUUUCAUUUCAGCCGAGGAUGCAAACGCCUCCAUAUUUUUCACAUCUACCAAGUUAAGAGUGUAUUCCAGCAUUAUCUCGUCAAAAAACAGCUUCCAUCUCUUUACCAGCCGCAUUAAUAUUUCACUCAUCCUCUCUCCGAUAUCUUUCCAGCUGAGUGAAAUAACUCACGCGAGGCUGCUGGCAGCCCCCACAGCACUGUCAUCUCUCAUUCCAGGUCGAAAGGUUCAUGACCUGAGGAAGCCCAGGCGGCUGACAUGUAAAGAGUGUGGUCACAUGACAAGCAGGUGACGAGAGGCUGGAUAAUUCAUGUUACUGCAGCUCUCUGAGGCUGCAGAUCUGUGAGUCUGUGGGGUAAGUGGGUGGAGAGGAGAUAUCACGCUGCAAUGAGUAAUCAGUGACAACAGCAAAACACAUAUCUUGACUUAUAUCCAGAGGAGCAGAUGUCAUUUUUAAUACCUUUUCAUUUGUUUACUGCAGACGGAGGAUGUAGGGUAUUAAAUUAAUUAUCAGAAAUGAUGGAGCUAAAAAUAUGGACAACAAUGGGUCUUAUAGACAGAUGACACAGCAGCUCCCCUUCAAGUGAAGUCAAAACAUGUAGAGAUCCUCCUACUGAAGAACUAUGUUGGUCCAAAUGAAACUGGACUUUAAAAUACAUGUGCAUCAAUCUCUCUCUUUCUCACUCUCUCCCCUCUCUAAACCCAACUCAGUCUCAGCACAUGACUGUCUAACAUGAGUCUGGUUCUGCUCAAGAUUUCUGCCUGUUAAAGGAAGUUCUUCCUCUCCACCAGUGGCGGCUGCUGGUCUUUCAAGGAGGGGAAGCUCAUUUUUCUGGCCUACAUCAUAAUUGUGUUUGUUUAUUUGUAUGUAACAGAACAGAGUCGCCAAACACAACGGCAGUCAUUUUUAACAAAGACAAAAGUCGCUGAGGAUCGGUAAAGACUCCGGAGCAGUUAAGAACAACGGAAUGAAUAACUUGGAAAAUGCUCUGGUAGACGUUUUAUUCUUCAAGAUCGCUGAUUCGGUUGUUUAGCUGUCAAUCAAAAAAGAAUUUCGCCUCAGACAGCUCAUCCAAUCAUGGAUGCAGAAGCUCAGCGUCCGCGAGAAAGUUGGGACCGCCCUCUCAUCAUAGAACCCCAGAGACGCUAAGCGUCCGAUGGGCGGGACAAAGCCCAGCAUUUAUCCAAUGAGCGUCUAGUUUCGCUGCUGGAACAACCCACUUUGAGCUUCCACAUUGAAGUCAGCAGAUGCUGAGCGUCCGGCUGUGUGAAGCGCUGAGGCGCUGCGAGGAUGAAUGAGAACAAAGUUAUGCCGGUUACCUGUGAUUAUCAGCUUCUUAUCACAGUGUGAUAAGAAGCUGAUUCUGAACAAAAGAUUAAGGCUUUCUAGCGCGUAUUUAGUUAAUGAAAUGUACACACAGCAGUACGUAUUUCACCACUUUUUCUUUUUUUGGGGGGUGACAUUUUAAGGGAAGCUGGGCUUCCCUUGCAGUCUUAGAGCAAUCGCCACUGCUCUCCAAUGUAACUCUCUAAAUGCUGUUAAGUGUUUCACUAAUGUGGUUGAAGACGGGAUGGGAGUAGAUCUGAUCUUGCAAGACAGGGCUUAGUCUGGUCCCAUGCUUUAUCUUUGGGUCUUUGGAAACAGAGUCUGGUCUAGACCAGUAUCUUGUAGUGUACUGGCGCUAUAUAAAUGAAGAUUGCUUGACUGAUUGACCUCAGUGAGUUUUGGCUGUCAUUGCCCUGUCACUUGUUCACAAGCUGUCCUUCCCUGGACCACAUUUGGUAGAUACUGACCCCAGCAGACCAGUAACACCCUUGAAUAACUGCAGUUUUGAAGAUGCUCUGACCCAACUGCAAUCUCAUUCUUAUGUUUUUCCUUUUUUUUUUUUUUUUUCUUUGUUUCUAACAAAUCAACUCUGGAGACUAAGUGUUCACCUGCUGCCUCACACAUCUCACUGAGAGGUGCAACCAGGAAAUCAACUAUAUUAACUUCACCCCUGAGUAAAAUAUCAUGAAUUCAUGUUUCUCUGCUUUCUAGCUUGAGGUCUUUUUAUACAGUCUUUCUGUUCAUAAGUGUUCAUGUAUUGAAACAUUUAAAGCAUCUUUAUUGAGACGGACACAUAAAAAUGUGUGUGUGUGUGUGUGUGUGUGUGUGUGUGUGUGUGUGUGUGUGUGUGUGUGUGUGUGUCAAGCAUCACAAGUUUCCAGAUGAGCGAGAUUCAGCGAUUACCUUUACACCAUCUCUCUGUAUCUCCACCCUGAUCCCUUCUCUCAAUAAUUGACUGCAGUGUAACAAAGGCUUAAUCCAUCUGUGUGUGUGUGUGUGUGUGUGUGUGUGUGUGUGUGUGUGUGUGUGUGUGUGUGUGUGUGUGUGAGAGAGAGAGAGAGAGAGAGAGAGAGAGAGAGAGAGAGAGAGAGAGAGAGAGAGAAUGUGUGAGCAGCUUCUCUAAUUAAAUAAACGAAUACACUCUGUAUUCAGCCAUAGCACUGCCUGCCUUGGCUGGCAUAGCUAAUGAAGUGCCCACACCCUUUCCUGGGCACUACUAGUGUGUGUGUGUGUGUGUGUGUGUGUAUGUGUGUGUGUGCGUGCGUGCGUGCGUGCGUGCGUGUGUGUGCGUGAUGCAUAAAGUCAAGCUGCAAUUAAAAGGCCUGUCAAUGGUGUCUACCAUAACAGAGACUUUGACUGUCACUAUCGACCUGCCUCACCACACAUACAUAAACACACACUGUACAGAGAGGGAGGAGAGGGCUGGCAUGGAGACAAGACAGAAGAGUGAAGAGUGAGGGAUGCUGAAAGAGGGACAAGAAAAGAGGGGAAACGAAGACUAUGAUAGUGGACAAGUAUUAAUUUCGUAUAUUUCGUACAUAGAACCCUCUUUGAAUGAUGCAGUCUGCAUGCCCCUGAUUGACUGUGCUCUCACACCUUGGGGCAACAGGAGACCCCUGCUGCCUAAUGCGAGGGAGCUAGCCUCCACAAUCUAGUGGGAAAACUGCUGUUUUUACAGCACUGUACCCUUGGCUUGAUUAGCAAAACAGACAAACAACUGGUCACAUAAACACACACUCAGAGUGUGGUCUACAUAAGUGCAUAAUGUACACAAAAGGCACAAGGAAUGUAACCUUCACUGCUCCUCAGAUGCAAACGAAGGGGGACAGGAGCUCAAGAGCUCAAAAGUCAUAGAGCUUUAAGCUGUGGGGAUAAUCCUAGGUAAAUAUGCCGUAUUCGGGCGCAAUAUAACCUUAAAUCCAUCCAGAGCGAACAGGGUACAAGAGGAAUGCACAGACAAAGCAUGAAGGUCGCCCAAUCUCUUUGCAGAACUCAAAGCAUGUAGCAGUGCAGUCUUGCAUGACAGAAAGUUCAUAUCUACAGACUUAGUACGCUAAAAUGGGGGACCAUGAAGAGCCUUCAGCACCAGCACUAAAUUCCAUGAGGGAACACUGGGUUUACAGGCCCAGCCUGUGGAUUCCCCUCAGGAAGUGCAUAGCAAAAGGGUGAGUGCUUGGCAUCACUUCAUAAAAGCCAUUAUGACAUGCAGAUGUAGCCGCCAAAAAGACCUUAAUUGUUGAGAAAGAGAGACCCCUAUCCAGCACCUCCUGAGGGAAUGUUAAAACAUCUGCAAUAGAACACCAAAUGGGAGUACAUUUCGGUCCUGACACCAUUGCUCAAAUGCCUGCCAUCUCUUUUGAAAGUCUUGUUCUCAGUCUUCUGCAUCCAGCCUCAAAGACCAUGAGACCACUGGUAUUUGCUAUAGUUUAUCGCCCUCCAAGCCCAUACUCUGAGUUUCUGUCAGAAUUAUCAGAGUUCCUAUCUGAUUUAGAGGUAAAAUUAGUAACCUCUUGCCUUCAUCAGGUGUCUCUCUCUUAGAUAACCCUGAAAUUGUUGAGGAGCCCCUAAGGCCUCUGGUGCACCUUAGUAACUUUGCACCUAUUGACCUUUCUGAGUAAAAGUCAGUGGUGCUGGCAGCCAAACCAUCUACGUGUCUUUUGGACCCAAUUCCAUCUAAACUGCUGAAGGAAACGCUUCCUUUGAUCAGUACGUCCCUGCUUCACCUCAUCAACACGUCUUUAUUAACAGGAUAUGCUCCCCAGUCUUUUAAGACUGCAUUGAUUAAGCCACUCCUUAAAAAACCUACUCUGGACUCAAGCACCCUAGCUAACUAUAGACCAAUAUCCAACCUUCCUUUUAUUUUGGCAUAUUAUAAUUUAUAUUUCUAAAGUCCUGGAGAAAGUUGUUGCGAAUCAACUUUGUGAUUUUCUUCAUACCAACGGUUUAUUGGAGGAUUUCCAGUCUGGAUUUAGAACCCAUCACAGCACGGAGACUGCUCUGCUGAAGGUGACAAAUGACCUACUCAUGGCCUUGAACAGUGGUCUUCUCUCUGUUCUUGUCCUGUUGGAUCUUAGUGCUGCAUUUGACACGAUCGACCACCGCAUCCUGCUUCAGAGACUGGAACAAUCUAUCGGUAGAGCAGGAUCCGCUCUUUCCUGGUUUAAAUCUUAUCUAACGGAUCGAUUCCAGUUUGUCCAUGUUAACAAUGAAUCCUCUGCGCACACCAAGGUCUGCUACGGAGUCCCGCAAGUGUCAGUGCUUGGACCGAUCCUCUUUACCUUGUACAUGCUUCCUCUGGGUAAAAUUAUGAGGAAGUACUCGAUGAAUUUCCACUGCUAUGCGGAUGACACCCAGCUAUACUUAUCCAUGAAGCCAGAAGAAGCAAACCAGGUUGCCAAAUUAGAAGCUUGUCUCAAAGAUAUGAAAUCCUGGAUGACCAAAAACUUUCUGAUUCUCAACUCAGACAAAACUGAAGUUCUUGUCCUCGGUCCUAAACACCUUAGAGAGGCAUUCUCUAAUAAUAUAGCUACGCUAGAUGGCAUCAGUCUGGCAUCCAGCCCCACUGUGCGAAAUUUGGGAGUUUUAUUUGAUCAGGAUUUGUCCUUUAGCUCCCACAUUCAACAAAUCUCUAGGAUAGCUUUUUUCCACCUGCGCAAUAUCUCAAAAAUUAGACGCAUCCUGUCUCAGAGUGAUGCAGAAAAACUAGUCCAUGCCUUUGUUACCUCUCGACUGGACUACUGUAAUUCUCUCUUAACAGGCUGCUCCAGUAAGUCUUUAAGGGCUCUUCAGCUGGUCCAAAAUGCAGCAGCUCAGGUACUGACUAGAACCAGAAGAAGGGAGCACAUCUCUCCUGUCUUAGUCUCUCUUCAUUGGCUCCCUAUUUAGUCUAGAAUUGAGUUUAAAAUCCUCCUUGUGACAUAUAAAGCGCUUAAUGGCCAGGCUCCAUCAUAUCUCGAAGAGCUUGUUAUACCUUUCUUUCCGUCUAGACUGUUACGCUCACAGUCUGCAGGUCUGCUCGUUGUACCAAAUGUCUCUAAAAGUAGUAUUGAAGGAAAAGCUUUUAGCUACCAGGCACCUUUCCUCUGGAAUCAUUUACCGCUCGAGGUUCGGGGGGCAGACACCCUCCCAACUUUCAAGAGUAGACUUAAAACGUUCCUCUUUGAUAAAGCUUAUAGUCGGGGCUGAUUUGAACCAGCUCUUAGUUAUGCUGCUAUAGGUCUAGACUGCCGGGGUUAUCUGGCACACUGAGCUAGAGUCUGUCUCUAUCUCUUUUUUAGAUAUUUAUGUCCCAUAUAAUCACUAACCAGAUUUCUCUCUCUCUGAGUGUCUCUGAGUCUCUUGGCUUCCACUGGACUAAUGCUGCAGACGGUCUGCUGCGGAAAUGCCUGACCCCAGCUGCAUCUUCCCUGAUUGUCCACCCUGGGCCCUGAGCUCCUCCAUCUCUUUGGCUCCUCUGGACCGUUGCUGCAGACACCCCCUGCCCCUUGGUUGCUCCGGACUGAUGGCUGCUGCAGACCUGCCUGACUCUAGCCGCAUCGUCUAUGAUUGUCCACCUCAGGCCCUGAGCUCCUUCUUCUCUUGGAUUCCUCUGGACUGUUACUGCAGACAUGAACAUCAGCCUCACUGACAUUAAUAACAUAAACUAGAGCUGACUACGAUUAGGCCUGCUGACUGCUGACUGUAAUCACAUUUAAUUAAUUUAACAUUGUCCAUAAUCACUCAUAUCCUAACCCUGUAAACUGAACUCAUUUUGUUUCACCAUUACAUGAGCUGUUGUUGUUGUUGCUGUUGUUUCUGCUGGCCCCUGUCUCUCUCUCCCCCUCGUUCUCUACUCUCUCUCCCUCCCCCUCCCUCUCCUUACUCAUUCUCUCUUGCCUUCCCUUAUCUUAUUCUCUAUCUCUCCCCUCUUCUCUCUCUCCUCUCUCUCCCUCCAUCUCUCUACAUUCCUCCCCAACCCAGCAGCGGCAUGGUGGCUGUCUGUCAUGAGUCGGGUCCUGCCCAAGGUUUCUGCCUGUUAAAGGGAAGUUUUUCCCUGCCACUGCUACUCAUGUUAGUUGAGAUGGGCCAAAACCCAUCUUAGGUUGGUUCUUGAUCAUCAAACUAUGAGCGUGGUCUAGACCUGCUCUUUUUCUUUGAAAAGCGUCUUGAGAUGACGACUGUUGUGAAUUGGCGCUAUAUGAAUAAAAUUUGAUUGAUUUAUUGAUUGAUUGAUUGUAGGCAUAUAGGCCCAUAGUAAAUUAUGCCCUUGCACUCUGGAUUGUUACCACCACAUUUGGGGGCAGACCCUGAGCUAUUAGGUUGGAAAUAUGUCAAUGUAGAUUCUCAUUCAUCCAGGUCAUGGUUAUCUCAGAGACUCCAAAAUCAGGCAACUGGACUGUGUUUAGAAGAGGUUUCACCUCUCAUCCAAGAAGCUUCUUCAGUUCUUAAAUAGCUCUUGAGGGGGGCAGGUAUUUAUCUUACUGGAGAAGGGGAAAACAAUGACUGGGAGGAGUUGGAAUGAAUGGGUUGUCGAAACCCAUCUCCGGGUGUUUAUCCCAAGAGUUGUUAAUCUUAAUUGGUCCUUAACUACCCCGUCCAUGUGAGGUGUUGUGAUCACAUGGUCCCAGGUAUGAAUGUCUGUGGAGCUUCCUGGGGAAAGAGCUAAGAACUGCAUUAUAAGUGCCAGAGAGAUUGUGCCUGAGUCCACCUCCUCUGUUCAGAAAGGGUUUCUCCAGGCUGGUGAAGAUGGCUUCUUUAACACCUCUUUCAAACCACCUGUCCUCUCUUGCCAACACAUGUACAAUGCAGUCCUCAAAAGAGUGACCCAUGUCCUUCAAGUGAAGGUGGACAGCGGAGUCCAGACUUGAGGAAAUGGCUCUUCUGUGUUGAGCCAUGCACUUGGGAAGUGGUUGAUAGGUUUCCCCAAUAUACAGGUCUGAGCAUUCCUCACUGCACUGGACAGCAUACACCACAUUACUCUGUUUAUGUUCUUGCAUCUCUCCAUCCUUUCUUGUUCAGUGUUCUUUCUCUUCCUGUUUUUUUUUUUUUUUUUUUUCAAAAGCCCAGUUAGGAUAUCCACAGGUUGUCAGGGCAUUUUUAAUGUGUUUCUGUUCCUUUUCUUCCCCUUCUUUCUCAGUGGGAAUGCUUUCAGCCCAGUGGUUGAGUGUUCUGAUAACACCCAGCUUGUGCUGCAGAGGAUGGUGGGAAUCAAAAAGUAAAUAUAGAUCCGUGUGUAGGGGUUUCCUGUACACUUCAAUGUUGAGACACCCAUCUGCCUCCCAAGUAUACAGCAAAUUCCAAAAAGGCCAAAACGUUGUCCGUGACAUCUUCCCGGGUGAACUUAAUAUUGCUGUCCACUGUGUUGAUGUGGUCUUUGAAGGCCUCUACUUCUUGUGUUAGGAUUUUUAUCCAGGUGUCAUCCUCAUAUCUAAACCAGUGGCUAGGUGCUGCUCCUUUGAAGGAGGUUAGGGCCUUAAUCUCUACCUCUUCCAUUUACAGGUUUGCCACUAAAGGAGAAACAGGGGAGCCCAUGGCACAUCCACAUUUCUGUCUGUAGUGGCACGCUCUGUACUGGAAAUAGGUGGUGCUAAGGCUGAUGUCCAGUAAGGAACAGAUCUGGUCUGGGGUUAGGUUAGUUCUGACCUUCAGUGUGCUGUCCUGUAAGAGGCAUAGUCUUACUGCUUGGACUGCAUCUGUGGUCGGAAUACUCAUGAAAAGUGAUGUGACAUGUGAAACCAUGGUUUCCUCUGGGUCUAGCCUGAGGAAACCAUCUGCAAGCAUCAUCAUCUUGCCUGCAGAUAAGGGGAGAUGUACAGUGGUACUUAACACUAGGGAUUACCAUGACAAGGUAACAAGCCUCCUCAGAGAUACUGCCACCUAUGAAACUCUGAAAUGGGACCCCACCAACAGCUACAAAAAGAAAGUUAUCAGCAUACUUCAACAGCUGGAAAAGGAUGGAGUAAUCGACCGUCCACUCUAUUACCAGCUAUAACCAGGGGACGCAGUCCUGUGCAUUUAUGGAUUGCCUAAAAUACACAAGGAAGGGGCUCCCCUUAGACACAUACAAUGUGGCGAAACAUUUGGCCACCAUCCUAGCUCCUC